UGGACAGCUUGCUUUGAGAAGUGGGGCAACAUAUCCACCUAAAUGUUGCUGGAAUAAGUAAAGCAUUCCCUGCAGAGGAAAGGGACACCUUUAUUCUCUUCGUGUCUGCAGGUGGCUUUGGUGCCAAGCUGUCCCCUGCCUGCUUCUGUUUUCACCCCCAGCCCCAGUGCUGCAGGCUGAUGGGGCUCCUUCUCCACUGACUCGCGUUUCCUCAUAUUCAUGGAGCUCUGCCGGCAGCUAGGCUGAGGGAGGAGCUGGGCAUACAGCUCUGGCCAUACAGAAGGUGCUGGUAAGAAACGGAGGCAGAGAGCAGUGCAACAGGAUGCAGAGGGACCGGCACUAUCAGGAGUGAGAGAGAAACCUUUUGAGACAAUUGCUGUUCUGGAGUAUCUCAGAAUCGAGGUCCCUUUCAACUCUCUCAUCUGUUCUGGUUUUAUGGACUGUAAGACAGAAACGUCCUCCAUGUGAGGAGUGCCUUGGAGGAGAGAGAUGGACCAUGUAAAGAUGGAGGGAGUGGCCAGGCAUGGAGGCUCAUACCUGUAAUCCCUGCACUUUGAGAGGCCAAGGUGGGUGGAUCACGAGGUGGAGAUCGAGACCAUCCUGGCCAACACGGUGAAACCCCGUCUCUACAAAAAAUACAAAAAUUAGCUGGGCAUGGUGGUGCGUGCCUGUAGUCCCAGCUACUCGGGAGGCUGAGGCAGGAGAAUCGCUCCGACCCGGGAGGCAGAAGUUGCAGCGAUCCAAUAUUGUGCCACUGCACUCCAGCCUGGUGACAGAGCAAGAUUCCAUCUCAAAAACAAACAAACAAACAAAAAAAGAUGGAGGGAGCUUUUGGAACGGAUCUUCAAGGAUGGCCAAGAGCCUUCUACAUGGAGGAAGGGUCCACUGAAUAUAACUUGCCACAUUCCAGGAGGAGUGGUGGGCAUUUCGUGUUAAUUUCCAAGUCACUGGCCUUGAAAUAAAGUGGAACAGGAUGGAAC
rnacentral:lncRNA from 10 species